GGGUUGUGAGGUUAAGCGACUAAGCGUACACGGUGGAUGCCCUGGCAGUCAGAGGCGAUGAAGGACGUGCUAAUCUGCGAUAAGCGUCGGUAAGGUGAUAUGAACCGUUAUAACCGGCGAUUUCCGAAUGGGGAAACCCAGUGUGUUUCGACACACUAUCAUUAACUGAAUCCAUAGGUUAAUGAGGCGAACCGGGGGAACUGAAACAUCUAAGUACCCCGAGGAAAAGAAAUCAACCGAGAUUCCCCCAGUAGCGGCGAGCGAACGGGGAGGAGCCCAGAGCCUGAAUCAGUGUGUGUGUUAGUGGAAGCGUCUGGAAAGGCGCGCGAUACAGGGUGACAGCCCCGUACACAAAAAUGCACAUGCUGUGAGCUCGAUGAGUAGGGCGGGACACGUGGUAUCCUGUCUGAAUAUGGGGGGACCAUCCUCCAAGGCUAAAUACUCCUGACUGACCGAUAGUGAACCAGUACCGUGAGGGAAAGGCGAAAAGAACCCCGGCGAGGGGAGUGAAAAAGAACCUGAAACCGUGUACGUACAAGCAGUGGGAGCCUCUUUUAUGGGGUGACUGCGUACCUUUUGUAUAAUGGGUCAGCGACUUAUAUUCUGUAGCAAGGUUAACCGAAUAGGGGAGCCGAAGGGAAACCGAGUCUUAACUGGGCGUUAAGUUGCAGGGUAUAGACCCGAAACCCGGUGAUCUAGCCAUGGGCAGGUUGAAGGUUGGGUAACACUAACUGGAGGACCGAACCGACUAAUGUUGAAAAAUUAGCGGAUGACUUGUGGCUGGGGGUGAAAGGCCAAUCAAACCGGGAGAUAGCUGGUUCUCCCCGAAAGCUAUUUAGGUAGCGCCUCGUGAAUUCAUCUCCGGGGGUAGAGCACUGUUUCGGCAAGGGGGUCAUCCCGACUUACCAACCCGAUGCAAACUGCGAAUACCGGAGAAUGUUAUCACGGGAGACACACGGCGGGUGCUAACGUCCGUCGUGAAGAGGGAAACAACCCAGACCGCCAGCUAAGGUCCCAAAGUCAUGGUUAAGUGGGAAACGAUGUGGGAAGGCCCAGACAGCCAGGAUGUUGGCUUAGAAGCAGCCAUCAUUUAAAGAAAGCGUAAUAGCUCACUGGUCGAGUCGGCCUGCGCGGAAGAUGUAACGGGGCUAAACCAUGCACCGAAGCUGCGGCAGCGACGCUUAUGCGUUGUUGGGUAGGGGAGCGUUCUGUAAGCCUGCGAAGGUGUACUGUGAGGUAUGCUGGAGGUAUCAGAAGUGCGAAUGCUGACAUAAGUAACGAUAAAGCGGGUGAAAAGCCCGCUCGCCGGAAGACCAAGGGUUCCUGUCCAACGUUAAUCGGGGCAGGGUGAGUCGACCCCUAAGGCGAGGCCGAAAGGCGUAGUCGAUGGGAAACAGGUUAAUAUUCCUGUACUUGGUGUUACUGCGAAGGGGGGACGGAGAAGGCUAUGUUGGCCGGGCGACGGUUGUCCCGGUUUAAGCGUGUAGGCUGGUUUUCCAGGCAAAUCCGGAAAAUCAAGGCUGAGGCGUGAUGACGAGGCACUACGGUGCUGAAGCAACAAAUGCCCUGCUUCCAGGAAAAGCCUCUAAGCAUCAGGUAACAUCAAAUCGUACCCCAAACCGACACAGGUGGUCAGGUAGAGAAUACCAAGGCGCUUGAGAGAACUCGGGUGAAGGAACUAGGCAAAAUGGUGCCGUAACUUCGGGAGAAGGCACGCUGAUAUGUAGGUGAAGUCCCUCGCGGAUGGAGCUGAAAUCAGUCGAAGAUACCAGCUGGCUGCAACUGUUUAUUAAAAACACAGCACUGUGCAAACACGAAAGUGGACGUAUACGGUGUGACGCCUGCCCGGUGCCGGAAGGUUAAUUGAUGGGGUUAGCGCAAGCGAAGCUCUUGAUCGAAGCCCCGGUAAACGGCGGCCGUAACUAUAACGGUCCUAAGGUAGCGAAAUUCCUUGUCGGGUAAGUUCCGACCUGCACGAAUGGCGUAAUGAUGGCCAGGCUGUCUCCACCCGAGACUCAGUGAAAUUGAACUCGCUGUGAAGAUGCAGUGUACCCGCGGCAAGACGGAAAGACCCCGUGAACCUUUACUAUAGCUUGACACUGAACAUUGAGCCUUGAUGUGUAGGAUAGGUGGGAGGCUUAGAAGUGUGGACGCCAGUCUGCAUGGAGCCGACCUUGAAAUACCACCCUUUAAUGUUUGAUGUUCUAACGUUGACCCGUAAUCCGGGUUGCGGACAGUGUCUGGUGGGUAGUUUGACUGGGGCGGUCUCCUCCUAAAGAGUAACGGAGGAGCACGAAGGUUGGCUAAUCCUGGUCGGACAUCAGGAGGUUAGUGCAAUGGCAUAAGCCAGCUUGACUGCGAGCGUGACGGCGCGAGCAGGUGCGAAAGCAGGUCAUAGUGAUCCGGUGGUUCUGAAUGGAAGGGCCAUCGCUCAACGGAUAAAAGGUACUCCGGGGAUAACAGGCUGAUACCGCCCAAGAGUUCAUAUCGACGGCGGUGUUUGGCACCUCGAUGUCGGCUCAUCACAUCCUGGGGCUGAAGUAGGUCCCAAGGGUAUGGCUGUUCGCCAUUUAAAGUGGUACGCGAGCUGGGUUUAGAACGUCGUGAGACAGUUCGGUCCCUAUCUGCCGUGGGCGCUGGAGAACUGAGGGGGGCUGCUCCUAGUACGAGAGGACCGGAGUGGACGCAUCACUGGUGUUCGGGUUGUCAUGCCAAUGGCACUGCCCGGUAGCUAAAUGCGGAAGAGAUAAGUGCUGAAAGCAUCUAAGCACGAAACUUGCCCCGAGAUGAGUUCUCCCUGACUCCUUGAGAGUCCUGAAGGAACGUUGAAGACGACGACGUUGAUAGGCCGGGUGUGUAAGCGCAGCGAUGCGUUGAGCUAACCGGUACUAAUGAACCGUGAGGCUUAACCUUACAACGCCGAAGGUGUUU
rnacentral:rRNA from 1 species